CCUACGAGUGGCAGCAGUGAGGAAUAUUGGUCAAUGGGCGCGAGCCUGAACCAGCCAAGUAGCGUGAAGGAUGACUGCCCUACGGGUUGUAAACUUCUUUUAUAAAGGAAUAAAGUGAGGCACGUGUGCCUUUUUGUAUGUACUUUAUGAAUAAGGAUCGGCUAACUCCGUGCCAGCCGCCGCGGUAAUACGGAGGAUCCGAGCGUUAUCCGGAUUUAUUGGGUUUAAAGGGAGCGUAGAUGGGUUGUUAAGUCAGUUGUGAAAGGUUGGGGCUCAACCGGAAAAUUGCAAUUGAUACUGGGAGCCUUGAGGAAAGGUGAGGUAGGCGGAAGGUGUGGUGGAGCGGUGAAAUGCUUA
rnacentral:rRNA from 1 species